AGGGGUAUGGCUCAGUGAUAGAGCACUUGCCUAGCAUGUCUGAGGCCCUGGGUUCAAUCCCCAGUACCACAA
rnacentral:tRNA from 1 species